CUUUUCUGCUCAGAGCUUCUCAGGUGACGAUAUUUGGGAGCCAACACGAGCAUAGGGGAACUGAACUAGAGAAGGAAUGUGAUGUGAGGUGUUUUAAAACUUGAUAAAAACUUUGUAAAAGGUGCUACUACAAAGAACAGCUCUUUCUUGUUCAUCCUAGGCUGCUGAGAAGACUUCAGUUGUAUGUGAGACAGUUCUCGGACCAGAACACAAUGCUUUACCAGAAAAGCAGCAAAAAGCUUGUUGGUGAAAUUUCCCUAUUACUUAAACAUUAUUACAGCUGUACUAGGUGAUGGAAGGAGAUGACUAAGCAGAUUUUCACCAUGAAUAAGUACUACACUUGCAUGCGUGUGUAUUACACCUGUAGAGUUAUUAUAAUGUUAAUGGGUGUUAAUCUUUAGGUGGGAAUUACUAGACUGGAAAAGAAGAAUUAUGUGACAAAAGUCCUUUGAAUAUUUACACUACUGAUGAGAAGGUAACAUGCAGUUACACAGGAACGUACACAUGUCAAUACCUUUUUGAUGGGAGAGAAAAAGAUCUUGUCUCAAGCUGACCAAGGAGUCAGCUUGCAAGACAGAAGAGAAAAGAAGAUUGUCCUUUCUCCAGAACAGACUGUGUGUGUGCUUUCAUUUUGUGAAUCAUCUAGGAAUAGGAAAAAGGAGCCACUAUAACAAUACUGAUGGUCUAAUGGAUCGAUGUGGGUACUUCAUUAGUCAUAUGCACAUGGAAUAUGGUGGUAAGGGUUUUUCUUUUUUUUGUUAGGUUAGACAACAAAGCAGUGCAGAGAAGCAUGUAUUUCACUCAGAAAAAUAGGUCAAAUAAAAUUAAUAAAC
rnacentral:lncRNA from 1 species